UACGAAGGGUGCAAGCGUUACUCGGAAUUACUGGGCGUAAAGCGUGCGUAGGUGGUUUGUUAAGUCUGCUGUGAAAGCCCUGGGCUCAACCUGGGAAUGGCGGUGGAUACUGACAAGCUAGAGUGCGGUAGAGGAGGGUGGAAUUCCCGGUGUAGCGGUGAAAUGCGUAGAUAUAGGAAGGAACACCAGUGGCGAAGGCGACCACCUGGACUGAUACUGACACUGAGGUGCGAAAGCGUGGGGAGCAAACAGG
rnacentral:rRNA from 1 species